rnacentral:rRNA from 2 species
UACGUAGGGUGCAAGCGUUAAUCGGAAUUACUGGGCGUAAAGCGUGCGCAGGCGGUUUUGUAAGUCAGAUGUGAAAUCCCCGGGCUUAACCUGGGAACUGCGUUUGAAACUGCAAGGCUAGAGUGUGGCAGAGGGGGGUGGAAUUCCACGUGUAGCAGUGAAAUGCGUAGAGAUGUGGAGGAACACCGAUGGCGAAGGCAGCCCCCUGGGUUAACACUGACGCUCAGGCACGAAAGCGUGGGGAGCAAACAGG